CCAUUUGCAAAAGCUUCUUAACUCAUCUACCUACCUUCUGUUGUGUUUCCCUCGAAUCAACUACACAGAAAAGGAAAAGUCUGCAAAAUCUGUGAAAGUGAUUUAUCUUCAGACUCUUCCUAAAAACAAGAGGCAGCCCAUUUUCUCCAGAUGACUCAUCAACUAAAGGCACAGUAGAAUGAAGUGUUCCAAUUUGAAAUACCAACAGCUAAAUAUAACCUCUUCCACAACAUCAGGAAAUUCAGUGUCUCUCUCUAGUCUAUAAGAGCAAUCUUAAGAGGUCACCUUAAUAACACAUUUAGCACAUCAUGUGAUCAGCAAGAAGGAAAACCUGGAACAAUAUACAACUUUUUACAAAAACAUUAAGCAAUA